rnacentral:rRNA from 1 species
AUUGAACGCUGGCGGCAGGCCUAACACAUGCAAGUCGAGCGGUAGAGAGAAGCUUGCUUCUCUUGAGAGCGGCGGACGGGUGAGUAAUGCCUAGGAAUCUGCCUGGUAGUGGGGGAUAACGUUCGGAAACGGACGCUAAUACCGCAUACGUCCUACGGGAGAAAGCAGGGGACCUUCGGGCCUUGCGCUAUCAGAUGAGCCUAGGUCGGAUUAGCUAGUUGGUGAGGUAAUGGCUCACCAAGGCGACGAUCCGUAACUGGUCUGAGAGGAUGAUCAGUCACACUGGAACUGAGACACGGUCCAGACUCCUACGGGAGGCAGCAGUGGGGAAUAUUGGACAAUGGGCGAAAGCCUGAUCCAGCCAUGCCGCGUGUGUGAAGAAGGUCUUCGGAUUGUAAAGCACUUUAAGUUGGGAGGAAGGGCAGUUACCUAAUACGUGAUUGUUUUGACGUUACCGACAGAAUAAGCACCGGCUAACUCUGUGCCAGCAGCCGCGGUAAUACAGAGGGUGCAAGCGUUAAUCGGAAUUACUGGGCGUAAAGCGCGCGUAGGUGGUUAGUUAAGUUGGAUGUGAAAUCCCCGGGCUCAACCUGGGAACUGCAUUCAAAACUGACUGACUAGAGUAUGGUAGAGGGUGGUGGAAUUUCCCUGUGUAGCGGUGAAAUGCGUAGAUAUAGGAAGGAA